rnacentral:rRNA from 1 species
UACGUAGGGUGCAAGCGUUAAUCGGAAUUACUGGGCGUAAAGCGUGCGCAGGCGGCUUUGCAAGACAGAUGUGAAAUCCCCGGGCUUAACCUGGGAACUGCAUUUGUGACUGCAUGGCUGGAGUGCGGGCAGAGGGGGAUGGAAUUCCGGCGUGUAGCAGUGAAAUGCGUAGAUAUGCGGAGGAACACCGAUGGCGAAGGCAGUCCCCUGGGCCUGCACUGACGCUCAUGCACGAAAGCGUGGGGAGCAAACAGG